rnacentral:sRNA from 1 species
GCUGGGCAUGGUGAUGCAUUGCCUGUAAUGCCAGCUACUUGGGAGGCUGAGGCAGGAGGAUUUUAAGUUCAAGGCUAGCCUGGGCAUUUUAGCAAGAUCCUGUCUAAA